CGGCGGACGGGUGAGUACGCGUGGGUAACCUACCCUGUACACACGGAUAACAUACCGAAAGGUAUGCUAAUACGGGAUAAUAUAUUUGAGAGGCAUCUCUUGAAUAUCAAAGGUGAGCCAGUACAGGAUGGACCCGCGUCUGAUUAGCUAGUUGGUAAGGUAACGGCUUACCAAGGCGACGAUCAGUAGCCGACCUGAGAGGGUGAUCGGCCACAUUGGAACUGAGACACGGUCCAA
rnacentral:rRNA from 1 species